rnacentral:tRNA from 1 species
AUUUUUAUAGCUUAAACCUAAAAGCGUAGCUCUGAAAAAGCUAAGACAGCCUAUGGCUUUUAAAUA